rnacentral:rRNA from 1 species
AUUGAACGCUGGCGGCAGGCCUAACACAUGCAAGUCGAGCGGCUGAAGGGAGCUUGCUCCUGGAUUCAGCGGCGGACGGGUGCGUAAUGCCUAGGAAUCUGCCUGGUAGUGGGGGAUACCGUCCGGAAACGGGCGCUAAUACCGCAUACGUCCUGAGGGAGAAAGUGGGGGAUCUUCGGACCUCACGCUAUCAGAUGAGCCUAGGUCGGAUUAGCUAGUUGGUGGGGUAAAGGCCUACCAAGGCGACGAUCCGUAACUGGUCUGGGAGGAUGAUCAGUCACACUGGAACUGAGACACGGUCCAGACUCCUACGGGAGGCAGCAGUGGGGAAUAUUGGACAAUGGGCGAAAGCCUGAUCCAGCCAUGCCGCGUGUGUGAAGAAGGUCUUCGGAUUGUAAAGCUCUUUAAGUUGGGAGGAAGGGCAGUAAGUUAAUACCGUGCUGUUUUGACGUUACCAACAGAAUAAGCACCGGCUAACUUCGUG